AGCUUUGCUCAGUGGCAGUAUCGUAGCCAAUGAGGUUUAUCCGAGGCGCGAUUAUUGCUAAUUGAAAACUUUUUCCAAGACUGGUUGGGGUAGGGGUCUAAGGAAAAACCUGGAGUCUGGUCACAGGCUUUUCAAAGGACACUGGCUCUAAAUUCCUUAAAAACAACUCCCAUAGGAG
rnacentral:snRNA from 1 species